GAAAACACGUGAGAGGACCGCUCCUUGUGGAGGACGGUGUACCCUUUGACGAGAGUAGUGACAUGAUAUUUCUGUAGGGGUCACCUUUGGUGAAGUAUAGCUGUGGCCAUAGAUUUUUUGAUAGGACCACUGUGGUUAGCACGACUGUGGUCAUAGAUUAUGUCAUAGUUUGGCAAGCCACAAAUUGCUAUUAUAUCUUAACUGGUCGUUCCAUAUGGGUAGUCAGAAAUCCGUAUCUACCCUUAGUAGA
rnacentral:lncRNA from 1 species